rnacentral:rRNA from 1 species
CCUACGGGCGGCUGCAGUGGGGAAUAUUGGACAAUGGGCGAAAGCCUGAUCCAGCCAUGCCGCGUGUGUGAAGAAGGCCUUCGGGUUGUAAAGCACUUUCAGUGGGGAAGAAAGCCUUGGGGCUAAUACCCUCGAGGAAGGACAUCACCCACAGAAGAAGCCCCGGCUAACUCCGUGCCAGCAGCCGCGGUAAUACGGAGGGUGCGAGCGUUAAUCGGAAUUACUGGGCGUAAAGCGCGCGUAGGCGGUCUGAUAAGCCGGUUGUGAAAGCCCCGGGCUCAACCUGGGAACGGCAUCCGGAACUGUCAGGCUAGAGUGCAGGAGAGGAAGGUAGAAUUCCCGGUGUAGCGGUGAAAUGCGUAGAGAUCGGGAGGAAUACCAGUGGCGAAGGCGGCCUUCUGGACUGACACUGACGCUGAGGUGCGAAAGCGUGGGUAGCAAACAGGAUUAGAUACCCUGGUAGUC